UGCUGGAACUGCAUCACAGGGUGUUGUGU
rnacentral:piRNA from 1 species